GGCCAGCUGGCUCAGUUGGUAGAGCAUGCGACUCUUGAUCUCAGGGUCGUGAGUUCAAGCCGCACGUUGGGUG
rnacentral:tRNA from 1 species